GGAUGUUCUGAAGAUUAAUGUGUCUCUUUCAGGGCACUAAGGUACAUUUAGAGCACUAAAGAAGUCAUUUACUAAAUGGUGCCCUUGGGACUUGAAAGAGUUAAUGUACCUCUCACAAGUCCUUUCUUAUCUACUUCCCAUUCCAUAAAGUGGAUGUUUCUCUCCAGAAGUCAAGUGAAUAAGGUAUUUUCCCUAAUUACUCCUCAUAACUUAUUUUUAGUAUUUUAUACCAACAGAAAGAAAAAAUAAGUUCAGAAACCUAAUGUGUAAAUGAGUUGACAUAUAGUUCUAUCUAAAACUCAAUUAAUAUGAAACAGCAACUUUUACCAAGAAAAAUUAUUCAUACUUUUGAAAUUAGAAAUAUAAACCAAGUUAGUAUUGAAUAGUGGUUUAAACUGUAGGUACUGAAGUUUGGGGUGGAAUCAUAUCUGAGCACAUAAUUCUCCAAGAUUUAGUUUUGCAAGUGUUAUAAAACAGAGAUGCAAGUCUGGCAUGUUUUCUAAUUUGGGUAGAGGAAGUUUGGGGGAUUUUUCCUAAGAAUAUUUUAUUCUUAGAGAAUAAAGUGAACAGUAGCCAUACAAUUAGUUUCUAGAAAAACAAAUUUGUACAAAACUAUUGUAUUGCAUAUAUUAAAUUAAAAAGUUAAUAUGAGAAACUUGAUUUAAAAAUUUAGUAAUGAAUUUCUAACUUUACAUACUGGAACUAAUCACUUUCCAACUUCUGAAAUAUGGAGAGCAAGGAAAAAUAAUCAAGUUUGUGUUUUCUAGAUCAACUGCCAUAACAAAUCAUUAUUAUAUUUAGAAAUAUAUUUGAUUCUAAACAUAUACAAGAGGAUAAUCUGGAUCAUUUAUGGUAAGAAAAAUAUUUUAAAUGGACUAUCCAGGUAAGUGAAUUAAAUUAUACACUAUGUAUAAAAUGGGCACUAAAUCUGCUCAAAACAUCUAUCAACUCCAGAGACAUCCUGAAAAGAAUCACUAGGUUAAGAGUCACCCCACAUGUGUAGCCUAGUCUCUGUUCCUUCUUAGAUCCCUUUCUGCAGUAUCAAAGGUUGACAUCAGUUAUUGAGAGCAAUGUUUUCCUUUGUCUUAAUGAUACUAUAACCUACUCCACAGACCCUCUGCUUUUUUCUCUCUGGGUGAAGUAGAAAUAAGCUUGACCAUCAAAGUUUGCAGACAAGUCUGUCUUUCUCAUGCCAAGACUAGCCACAGAUGUACCCUGUUCUAUGGUGAAGCUAGAACAAAAAUCCCUUGGGAAGGUGCUAGGUUUCAAGAACCUGCUAGACAUAUUGGUUGUUGGGCCACUGUAAUACAUGUAGCAACAACAAUAUUUAUAUUUCACAUUUUCUUCAUAAAAAUUCCCUUUGUGGAAAAAAAUGGGAACAUUUUAUAAUUUCUAUUUUAAUUCUUUCCAAUAUAUAUUAUUAAUGGAAAUGAAAAUUUUAAUGACUCUGAUUUUAUUUAACCUCAUGCAUAUAAGCAUCUUGACAAUUUUCCUCUAUGAAGAAAAUGUAUCCGUCAACAAGUACUGUGCAUGCAUCUUCUUUCUUCACAAUUAAAGUUUAACUAAAAGCAAAAGCUACUAAUGCAUGGCUAAUUUUACAAUGCAAGCAGAUGUUGUUGUUAGAAGAACAUCUUCCAUUGUUAGCCUCUGGCUCCAGUGACUGCCAUACAAAGAAUGUAGAGGAAGAAACAAUUUGGAGAGCAAGAGAUGCCGUUUGCUAGGGGCUCAGAACACGACAGCCAGUUGGAAGUCAUUAAAUUCAGAUGCAGCUGCAUUUCUGACAAGAGUUCUUGGCCACCCCUGCUCUGUCUCCAUCCAGAAUAGUUCUUGUGGGGCACACUGCUCAGAUAUGAUAUAAAGGUAUUGGAAAGAAAACCUCUCUUAUGGAAACACCAACAAAUACCAAACUAUCUGGGUAGCACAAGCAAUUUACUCUCCUUCAACUUAAAGAAUUGUUGCUUUAUGGCCAUUUUCCUUGAGUUUAUUGAUUUCAUAUGCAGUUUUUUUACAAUGACAUAAUGCAUCUGGGCUUCAUGCACAGAGACAGAAAGGAUAACUAACAUUGGUGUCAUCUGUCAACCCAAAGUAAUCAAUGGCACCUGGUCUCUACUUAGAAGUGCAAAGCAUCAAGGAGCAAAGUCUCUUCAAUCAAAGUGCCUCAAGGACAAGAAAGGCAUUCUAUUUCACAGAUCACUGUAGACAUGCCAGGCAUUCCAAGAAAUGUAAGUCU